UAUAGAGACUGCGAGCGUUAUUCGGAUUCACUGGGCGUAAAGGGUGCGCAGGCGGCCGGGUGUGUCAGAUGUGAAAUCCCGAGGCUCAACCUCGGAACUGCGUCUGAAACUACUCGGCUAGAGUACUGGAGAGGAGACUGGAAUUUACGGUGUAGCGGUGAAAUGCGUAGAUAUCGUAAGGAAGACCAGUGGCGAAGGCGGGUCUCUGGACAGUUCCUGACGCUGAGGCACGAAGGUCAGGGGAGCAAACGGG
rnacentral:rRNA from 1 species